rnacentral:tRNA from 1 species
GUCUCAGUAGCGUAGUGGUUAACGCACGGCCCCGGUUAGGUGCUAGAUGAGGUUUCGAAUCCCGCCUGAGGUG